UGUCAUUCUCUGUUUAUCUUCCAGAAUGGU
rnacentral:piRNA from 1 species